AUUGGACCCAAUGGACUUCUGACCCAUCAUCACAUCCAAAAACUCAGGGGCCACUUCAGCCCCUGAGGCCACAAUGGCCACGUGGGCUGCAGCAUUAAUGACGGGGAGCGUGAGCAUCACUUUCUCUUUAGACCCAUCGAUUGAGACAAGUGAAACCCAUUGGGACUCCUCUCCAGGCACAGGGUGGCGUGGAAGAGGAAAGUUUAAAAGGAUGAGGUCAAAUCUGGGGCAGUCGCUUGAUGGAGAAACUGAGACCGACCGUUUUCUAACGUGUUGCCUGAUGGAGAACUCGUAGUUACUGGCUGCAGAUUCUCCCGGUACGUCGUGGCUCACGGGGAAAACGUGAGCCGGAAGUAUAGGAACCUUGGACAGAAAAUAUUCUUUGGCUUGCCAGAAGAAGCUAUCUGGGUGUCUCUUAGCAACCACGUUCUCCUCAGCCCAAAACACAUGCCAUUUCGACCAUUCCACCAUUUUCAAGAACGCUGAGCUUGUUAGCUUCCCCAAGCGUUUUGGAACAUCUCCUCCAGAAAGAACAAGCGAGAAUGAACCUUUCUCUUUUAUGGCAGACUCAGAAAUUUGAUGAACGUAUUCAGCAAGUCCUGAUGACAGCUCUUCACUGCUAUCAAACAAUCUGAGUUCUGG
rnacentral:misc_RNA from 1 species